rnacentral:lncRNA from 1 species
CGUGCUGACGCCAUGACGCCCCGGCCGGUGUGUGUCGGUGUGUGUGUGUGUGAGUGUGCGCACUGCGAGUGUGUGUGUAUUUGUGUAUCGGCGGUCUCGCAGGUCCCGGAUGUUGCGGACAGUAUGAGGCGAGCGCAGGGGGACGGGGACCAGCAGCUGUCGCCACCGCUCUCAGUGAUUUCCUGUUAGACAAGACAAAUUAGAGUCUUCCUACUGACUUUGACUUAACUUGUGCAAGUGGCAUGUAAAGUUAGAAGUCAUAUAAGGUAAGCAUCUAAGUGUUGUCUUUUUUUUUUUUUUAAUAAUGAGCCUUACAAACAGUGUUAAACAUAUUUCAUAAGUGGCUUCAAAAGAAUAUUUAUUCUAAAUAUUCUUUCCUGGCUUAAAGCAGAGCUAUUUAUUCAGGUCUCCUCUGGUGACUGCUGUGCAUAGGAUGACUUUACACCAAUGGUGGAGGGGAGAAAAGAUGUUUGGAUUUAAAUUUUUAAUCAAUGGUUGAUAAUACAUGAUAUGGAGACCUUAGAGUAAGAUUAUUUUUCUCCCUAGAAAAGAUCUUCAGGGAAAUUAGAAUUACAUUUUAUACAAGGAGAUGCCUUAAAGCAAUUCAUGGGCUUCAUUUUACUCUGGAAAAGGAGUUUGAUUCUGAGCCGACUGCCUUUGUGUUAUGUACCUUAGAGCUCAUCUUUCUAUGAGUAACUUAAAAAAAUCUUUCUACCAUUGCGGCUGGCAUCUGAAAAUUUUUGCUUUGUGGCAUGAGACUCUUGCCUCAAAUGCUUAUAUAUGUUUUUACAGAGUUUUAUUGGGUAAAAUAGGUGUUACUGCAUUUUAAUCUUUUAAAUUCUGACACAAAUCAUCAGGAGCCAAGAAAUUCUGUUAAGACAGACGUUCUGUCUGAUUUUCCCCUGUUUUGUCUGUCUGUAUGGUCUUACUUUUUCCUUGCGUCAUGAAUUUUGGAAUGAACAUUUCAAACUGAGAACUUUCUGCCAGUCCUUUGUUCCAUUUAGUUUCAUUAGAACCUUAACAUUAACAUAGAAAUUGGCUUAUUUUUAAUAACUUCAGGAGGAGAGAGAAUUUAUUUUUUGCAGAUGGUUUCUAGGUGAGGAGCACGGGUCCAUGUAAAUAGUCGUCAGGUUACUUCAGUUAAGACCAUAGUUAAAGGAGGCGAUUAAAGCGUACAUUUACUUCCAUCUCCCAUUCGUAGUUGGAGGGAGGUCUAGGUGUCUCUCAUAAAGAAAAGUGUCUUGAGAGAAUACUCAUUUCUGUACUGCUAGAUAGUAGUAGUUAGUGCUGAAGAGAAUUGGUUGCCCUUGUGUUAUUACCAAAUCCUCUGGAGCAGGUGGGCCUUUUCAGCUUCUAAGUUAAUGAAUUUAUUUCAAUUGCAUACCCUAAGACUAAUUUAGAAUUUGUUCUUUGGUAUGCAUUCCUUGGGCCCGUUCUGGAGCCGAAUUGUGUUAGCAAGAAAUCUUUUUAAAUGGCUUGACUAAAGUAUAGAUGGCUAAAGAGAAUUGCAUGUUGAAUUUGGCUUCUAUAAAGACCAGAGGACCCUGCAGGGUUAUGCAACCUCUGCCUAUUUGUUCCAUGAAAUGACUCUUCUGUUUUUGAAUUCCUUGCAGAUUGGACACGCUUAAGUUGCAUUAGGACCAAGCCUUUCCUCUGUUUACUAUGUGGAUUUUAUAAGGUUCAUCAUAGUUGCAGUUGAAGGGAGAGGGUGAAAAACUGUAACCUCUCAAAUUUUCAAACUGCUUUGGGAAUAUAAUUAUGUAAUAAAUAGAAUCUUCUUAGCCAUAAGAUUUUUGUCCUCUUCUUCCUUCUCCUCCUCUUUAAAAUUCUGUCCCAGCUCUUGAUUAAGAAUAAAUCUUCUCAACCUAGAGGAGAAAUCUUUGAUAACACGUGGGAUGUGUUAAAAUCUUCAUCUUUCUUAAGUUUGCUCUUUGUGGCCCUGGAGAUUUUUGCCCAAGCCAGUCAGUGGAAUCAACACCUUAUUAUAGUUUGUGGUGAGAGAGCAGUUGUUGUUUGUUUGGUUCUGCCUGUCUAACUUCAUUUCUAAAGGGGCUUUCCUUUGGAACUGAGAUCCUCUUUGAAGUGAAAUAGCCCCUUUAUAAUCAGGUUUGUGUGCUGAUUUGGAUUCAUGUUGUUCCAUCUCCAACCUCUCCCAAAGGAUGAUUUUGAAAGUGAUAUAUGGAAAAGUCUAAUCUGAUGAACCGUGUCUACCUUUUCUUAAAAAGCAGUUGGAGGAGUUGUUUUUUCCCCCUGCAGGGGUUCAGUAAUUAACAACAGCAGCACAUCACCUGAUGGCAUUAGUACAGACCUUGUGAAACCUGUGGUUGUUGCAGCCGUGGUUUAUUCCGCUGGAUCCUCCAUCCAAGUGAAGAAUUUUUUUCCUCCAAUGUUGUUAUGUAGAUUUAUUUAGCUCAAUAGUCAUUUGGCCCUAAAUUAAAAAGAAAACAAAAACUCAGAAGUCUUUUUAGGGUCUAAGGAGAUGCAGUCUUACAAGGCUAUUAAGUGGCAUCUGCCCCUUUCCAGGACGGACCUCUGCAUUUAGAGCAGAACAUGCAUUGCAUUCUCCCUGGACAUAUUUUUGGGGUAGGGAAUUAUGCUAACAUGUCUGUUUCAACAGCUCUUACAUAAUGGAUAGUUUUUAGGGG